GAUGAACGCUGGCGGCGUGCCUAAUACAUGCAAGUCGAGCGAACGGACGAGAAGCUUGCUCUUCUGAUGUUAGCGGCGGACGGGUGAGUAACACGUGGAUAACCUACCUAUAAGACUGGGAUAACUUCGGGAAACCGGAGCUAAUACCGGAUAAUAUUUUGAACCGCAUGGUUCAAUAGUGAAAGACGGUCUUGCUGUCACUUAUAGAUGGAUCCGCGCUGCAUUAGCUAGUUGGUAAGGUAACGGCUUACCAAGGCAACGAUGCAUAGCCGACCUGAGAGGGUGAUCGGCCACACUGGAACUGAGACACGGUCCAGACUCCUACGGGAGGCAGCAGUAGGGAAUCUUCCGCAAUGGGCGAAAGCCUGACGGAGCAACGCCGCGUGAGUGAUGAAGGUCUUCGGAUCGUAAAACUCUGUUAUUAGGGAAGAACAUAUGUGUAAGUAACUAUGCACGUCUUGACGGUACCUAAUCAGAAAGCCACGGCUAACUACGUG
rnacentral:rRNA from 1 species